GAUGAAGAACGUAGCGAAAUGCGAUAAGUAGUGUGAAUUGCAGAAUUCAGUGAAUCAUCGAAACUUUGAACGCACAUUGCGCCCCUUGGUAUUCCAUGGGGCAUGCCUGUUCGAGCGUCAUUUGUACCUUCAAGCUUUGCUUGGUGUUGGGUGUUUGUCCAUUCUCUUGCAGAGGGACUCGCCUUAAAGUAAUUGGCAGCCAGUGUUUUGGUUUUGAAGCGCAGCACAAGUCGCGAUUCAAAGCUAUACGCCCGCUUCCACAAGCCUUUUUCACUUUUGACCUCGGAUCAGGUAGGGAUACCCGCUGAACUUAAGCAUAUCAAUAAGCGGAGGA
rnacentral:misc_RNA from 1 species